rnacentral:lncRNA from 1 species
CAGCCUACCCGGUACAGCACUGAUAUUAUUUAUUAAUGACUGGAUUUGAUCUCUCUCUCUCUCUCUCUCUCUCUCUCUCUCUCUCUCUCUCUCUCUCUCUCUCUCUCCCUCUCCCUCUCUCUCUCUCUCUCUGGCUCCUGGGAAAAUCCUCCUUCAUUUAAAGCAUGAUAGUUUACAGACUAACAUGGAAGAUUAAUCACUAGUAAAUACGAAUACCAAAAUGGACAAGAGGUCUAGCCAUGGCCUCUUCUGGCUCAUCACCAGCCAAACGGGAACUAGAAACUGAUAACUAGCAAGCCCACCCUCUUCAGACAAAAGAAUGUGGGAGUAGGGAUUAGAGGGGUGUUUCCACUCUCCUGUUGCUAAGGGUCAAAAAGAAGGGGUCAAUGCUCUCUCCAAGAGUCUGAGUCCCAGGACCCAAAAUUACUUAGCAGACAUCAGCUCAUUGCCCAGAGAGAUGGUUAUUUUGAAGAUUGCAAACUUCCUCCUGCCCAGUCCAAGUUGAAGUUCCGGGGGGAGGAAAAACGUUCCAGGCCGGCAGCUGUGCGCUGUACUGGACAACAAGCACCGCCUUUGUGGAGAGCCUCGUGGGAUGAUACCCAGGCAGAAGCACUCAGAAGGCUGAGGCAGGAGAUGAGUUCAAGAUUAGCCUGGGCUAUCUCAAAACAAUAAAAGAAGAAAGAAGAGGAAGAAGGAGGAGGAGGAGGAGGACGGCGACGACUAUGAUGAUGAUGAUGAGAAGCAGCAGCUAGGUGUGAUGGUACACACCUUUAAUCCCAGCCUAGGGUGGCCGGCAGAUCAUUGUAAAUUCAAGGCCAGCAUGGUCUGAACAGGCCUUGCCCCAUUUCUGGUCAGUCUGGGCAUUCAGGCCUGUGAGGCCACCACGCAGUCACAGAGGAAGACCUGUUGAAGCAGAGAAUACAGAGCUGAACAAACGGAAGCCAAGGUCAAAGCAAAUGUUUACUUAAAAUGAGGAAGGAUAUCAUCACAGAUUAUAGAUGUUUAAGAAGAUAAAUUCCACAGACCUUAUGAAGACCACAACAUAAGAUUUACUUAAUGGACACAUUUCUGUAGCCCCUUCCUUUCCCUCCAUUCUUGGCUGUGUAUUUUGAUCCUUUCGAAAUGUCAAUUUUUUUAAAAAAUUCCUAACGUAACGACCAGAUGGAUAAGACAAUAUUUCUUCUAAUCCGGCUGACUGGCAUUUCUUGUGUUGGUGGUUGGGCUGUGGUGAAUGCGCAUGCAACUUCGCAUGCAAACUUUUCUGUUUUUUUUUUUAGACAAAGCUGAACAGUGGCUUGUAUAUUGAAGUGUCAGUUUUAUAUUUGUUGUUAAUUUUCUAGUCAUAUCUUUGCCUGUUUCUCUAGAAAACUUUUGGCAUUUACCCUAUCAAAUUUAAAGCUAUUUGAUAAGCUGGGUGUGGUGGUACACAACCUUCAUUUGAUCACUCAAGAGCCUGAAGGAGGAUUUUUUUUUUUAAGGGGGGUGGGUGUGUCCUGGAGAGAUGGCUCAGCUUUGAGUACUGCAGGGGCAGAGGACCACAGUGUGGUUCCUAGCACCACCCAUAGGAGGCAGCUCGUAAUCUCCUGCAACCCCAGCUCCAGGGUGCUGCAGUCAGGUGUAUACACACACACACACACACACACACACACACACACACACACACACGAGCACUUUCUUACACACACCCACUUAAAUCUUUUUUUAAAAGACAGACUUUUUGUACAGUAGGAAUGUUAGUGCUUUCUCUUCUCUCUCCCCAUCCAUUUGGUUUUGUAUGUGUAUAAGUAUACUCGUCCAGGCCGGGCGUGGUGGCACACGCCUUUAAUCCCAGCACUCGGGAGGCAGAGGCAGGCGGAUUUCUGAGUUCGAGGCCAGGUCUACAAAAUGAGUUCCAGGACAGCCAGAGAUAUACAGAGAAACCUUGUCUCAAAAAAAAAAAAAAGUAUACUCAUCCAUGCAUGCAGGCACUAGCAGAGGCCAUUCAAGGACACUGGGUGACUUCCUCUACUGCUCUUGCCUUGUCACCCAGAAGCAGUCUCUCAGAAGAGGAAGCCUGUGGCUGGAGUGGCCUGCCUGUGAGCUCCUGGGAUCAGCUUGUCUCUGCCCUUAAUGCUAGGCCUGUAGGCAGGCACAGCCAUACUGGGCUGUUUGCUGGGUGCUAGGAUUUGAACUCAUGUUUGCAGAACAAACCCUUUUACAUUCUGAGCAUCGUGCCACGCCUCCAUUUUGGUCUUUUUUUUCUUCUUCUUCUAUAAUACAGGUUGUAAAUAUGUCCUCGUAUGCUGAUAUACAUCCUUUGACUUUGUUCAUGGAG